rnacentral:rRNA from 1 species
AGCGAACGCUGGCGGCAGGCCUAACACAUGCAAGUCGAACGAACCUUUCGGGGUUAGUGGCGGACGGGUGAGUAACACGUGGGAACGUGCCUUUAGGUUCGGAAUAACUCAGGGAAACUUGUGCUAAUACCGAAUGUGCCCUUCGGGGGAAAGAUUAAUCGCCUUUAGAGCGGCCCGCGUCUGAUUAGCUAGUUGGUUGAGGUAAUGGCUCACCAAGGCGACGAUCAGUAGCUGGUCUGAGAGGAUGAUCAGCCACAUUGGGACUGAGACACGGCCCAAACUCCUACGGGAGGCAGCAGUGGGGAAUCUUGCGCCAUGGGCGAAAGCCUGACGCAGCCAUGCCGCGUGAAUGAUGAAGGUCUUAGGAUUGUAAAAUUCUUUCACCGGGGACGAUAAUGACGGUACCCGGAGAAGAAGCCCCGGCUAACUUCGUG